UACAGAGGGUGCAAGCGUUGUUCGGAAUCAUUGGGCGUAAAGGGCGUGUAGGCGGUCUGUUAAGUCAUGUGUGAAAUCCCUCGGCUCAACCUGGAGACGCCACCCGAUACUGUCGUGACUAGAGUCCAGUAGGGGAGCGUGGAAUUCCUGGUGUAGCGGUGAAAUGCGCAGAUAUCAGGAGGAACACCAGCGGCGAAGGCGGCGCUCUGGGCUGGCACUGACACUGAGGAGCGAAAGCGUGGGGAGCGAACAGG
rnacentral:rRNA from 1 species